ensembl:lncRNA
GUAUGCAACAUUUAGCUGAUUUCUUGCACUACUUUGCAUUGCUAUAGAGGACAAAGACUGCAGAGGAAGAAGAAGUAAGGUCAUGCAGUCACCACCACUUUCUGCUUCUCCCUUACUUCUGUUCCUGUACAUUGAAGAAGUCAGGCACAGCAAGGUGCCAAAUGCCAAGGUGCAGAGUGCCACUGAAAUAUGUUGCAGCAUGAGUGUCCAACCUUUUGGCUUGCCUGGGCUGCACUGAGUGAAGAGGAAUCGUCUAUAAGGCAACAUCUAUGAAGGCUGCUCUGAAAGUAAUGCUUCCUAAUUGUUUUCAUGGAAACUACAACAGAUACAAAAAACACAAUAACACUGUUUCAUAGAGCAAAUUCUCAGCUACAAAGCACUCUUUUUCAGCAUACUCACCACCAUUAGCUGUUAUGUUCACAGCAAUGAAUAAGGGCCUGCAUGCUGUGUUCAUAAUGAUCUGCACCAGCAGAGGUGAUCCACUGUCACUGUUGCCACUGCUGAAAUUCACCACCCACCAUCUCACUGUGCUCGCAUCCACUGCUUGAUCUCCAACAUUCAGCAAGUGUCAGUGGUUGUCGACAGAUCCAUUUUUUUUCUGCAUGAAGGAAUGCAUUUCCACUCUUUUCUUCAUCUGCACUGCCAAAUCAGACACCGUUGUGACAUUUUCCCCCUCUGCUGCCAUCUGUCACACAGCAACAACACGUAAUGGAUACUGGUGAGAAGGUUCAACCUCUACUGCCAUACCACCUACAUCUGCCUCUGUUGUUGUAGGCCAAGGUCGUAAAAUAGGAAGCUACUCUCUGAAAGGGUGGUCAGGCACUGGAAUGGGCUGCGCAGAGAGGUGGUGGAGUCACUGACCCUGGUGGUGUUCAAAGAGCAUUUGGAUGUUGUGUUGAGGGACAUGGUCUAGCGGGAACCAUUGGUGAAGGGUGAAUGGUUGGACUGGGUGAUCCUGUGGGUCUUUUCCAACCUUAGCGAUUCUAUGAUUCUAUGAUUAUUUUCGGAGCAGCUCUCAUAAAAUAUAUAAUAUAGUAAAUGUGUGUAAAUAACAUGUUUUAAUUUUUAAUGCUUUUUAUUAAAACAUAUAAAAAAAGAGAGCAACAAAACCAUAAAAGUAAUGGGAUAUGUGAUCUUAUUUUUGGCUCAUGGAAGCCUGUCAAAGAGGCAUGGUCAGAUUUUGAUUGCAACUCUUACACAUUCCAUUUGAAAAUUCACAGGUAAUGUAUGUAUGUCAAAUGAAAAUGGAGUUGCAAAUAAAUUGAGCAUUUUUUC